CAGCCGCCGCGGGAAUACGGAGGGUGCAAGCGUUAAUCGGAAUUACUGGGCGUAAAGCGCACGCAGGCGGUUUGUUAAGUCAGAUGUGAAAUCCCCGAGCUUAACUUGGGAACUGCAUUUGAAACUGGCAAGCUAGAGUCUUGUAGAGGGGGGUAGAAUUCCAGGUGUAGCGGUGAAAUGCGUAGAGAUCUGGAGGAAUACCGGUGGCGAAGGCGGCCCCCUGGACAAAGACUGACGCUCAGGUGCGAAAGCGUGGGGAGCAAACAGGAUUAGAUACCCGCGUAGUCCCUGUCUCUUAUAU
rnacentral:rRNA from 1 species